AACGUAGGUGGCAAGCGUUGUCCGGAAUUACUGGGUGUAAAGGGAGCGCAGGCGGAAGGACAAGUUGGAAGUGAAACCCACGGGCUCAACCCGUGAACUGCUUUCAAAACUGUUUUUCUUGAGUGGUGUAGAGGUAGGCGGAAUUCCCGGUGUAGCGGUGGAAUGCGUAGAUAUCGGGAGGAACACCAGUGGCGAAGGCGGCCUACUGGGCACUAACUGACGCUGAGGCUCGAAAGCAUGGGUAGCAAACAGG
rnacentral:rRNA from 1 species